UACGUAGGGUGCGAGCGUUAAUCGGAAUUACUGGGCGUAAAGGGUGCGUAGGCGGCGCGGUAAGUCGGGUGUGAAAUCUCGGAGCUUAACUCCGAAACUGCAUUCGAUACUGCCGUGCUUGAGGACUGGAGAGGAGACUGGAAUUUACGGUGUAGCGGUGAAAUGCGUAGAUAUCGAGAGGAACACCUGCGGCGAAGGCGGGUUGCUGGGCUGACACUGACGCUGAUGCGCGAAAGCCAGGGGAGCGAACGGG
rnacentral:rRNA from 1 species